CUGUAAUGAUGGCUGUGGUAUCUGCGACCUCUAACGGUCUGGUUGAAAAUACAACAGAAACAAAAGAGAACAAAAAGGGAUGGUUAUCAAAGCGUACACAUUUCACGUAUCUUUGGAAGCCUGCGUGGUUUGAGGUGACAGAAACAAAACUCUUGUAUGGUGAAAAUGAAGAGGGUCCCCGGAAGACUAUUAACCUCAUAGGUGCGGAGGUAGAGGUGUCGGAGGGAGACGGUGCUUUCGGCUGGACAAUUACCCCGAAAGACAGCAGACGGACCUUCUUCCUGCGGGCUAGCAGUGAAGCGGAACAACAGGGUUGGAUGCUUGCAAUAUGCGAAGCUCAGCUAAACUCGAGAGAACAUGCCUCAAAUGCUUGCGUGGUGCAGUAGCUGGUGGAUGGGCAAUACUCACUUCGCACUAUUUCUGUGCUUCAGUUUUUCUGAUCGGGAUAGUUUUGCACACCGCUACAUUUUCCCCUUCCCCGGUACUUUUUUAUUGGGUCAUGCAUAAAACAGAGACUUCAAAUGUCAAUAUUUUCUAUUUUUAUGAACUGUAGAACAUGGCUAGCAAAACACAGUAUUUGUACGUCUAGUUUUGAUAAGUAAAAUUUAGUUUUGAUAAGUAAAAUUAGUCAUUUUUACUAUAUAUUUUAUAGGCCUACUCAGGGAAACGUAAAUUAUAAUUUGUGGAGUAAUUUCUUUUAGUGGUCUUUGCUUUCGUUAUUUUCCAUAGAAAAACUGUAUUCAAACUGAUGGCGCCAUCAUUCAUGUUUUUAACCGCCAAACGUGUUUCUUGUUUCGUUUGCUAGACCCUUCAGAGGUCAGUGCACACAACACUGAUAUAAUUGUAUGCAUAAUUAGGCCGUCUGCCAGUCAGACCAAAUGCAUGGAAAUUGGAACGAAAUAUAGGCAGAAUAGGCUAGUUUUAAAGAAAGAAAAAAAGCUUAGGUUUAAAUAUCUGUUGUCUUUUGAAUAUAUUGUUUUGCAAAACAUUUUCCCAAAUGAAAUGGGUUGUACAGACCCAAUCCUUUUAUUACCAGCCACACACAUAAUCACACUAUUAAGAGACCAGGCCUGUAAAUAUUGACAAUUGCCAUGGUAUGUAUGGUGCCUCCCAGAGAUGUCCUGGUUUGGACCGGAUGGAUUGUAGUAAUAUGUAAAUCUUGUAAUUUGGUGGAAAUGAAAAGGUCCUCAAAACAAGAACACGAAAGUAAAUGGACAUUAAUAAAUUGACGUAGAAUAAUUAAAGGGAAGAAGAAGGGACGGAGGUGUCAAAACACAAAUGAAAUGAAAUUACCUGAAAAUAAGUGCUCAGACAGAACUAUUUAUAUUGGAAAAUAGCCUGUUGUUUGCUGUCAGUUCUGCAGCAUCCCUCUAUAUGGUCAAGAUUUCCACAGCCAGGUCAGACAUUUACACUGUCAGAAAAAAUGCAAGAAUUGCACCUAUGGGGGUUCGGUGGCUUGUAACUGGGACAGUACCCUCAAGGAAAUACCCAUUGUACCCUUUACCCUUUUAGAUUAGUGUUCUAAGGUACAAAUAAGGCCAGGUGAUGAAAAAUUAGUGGUAAUUGUACCUUAGCAAACAAAAACGGGCCCCUACCGUACCCCAUCAGUUUGACAGAAUGGUGCUGAAGCUUUUUGAAAUGAGUUCUGUUAUAUAUGCCCUGUGUAUUGCUCUGCUCAAGUAAGGUGAUACAUCGGACCAUAACAACAAACGUCCUGACAAUGUGUGCACAAGCUCACAUCCCUUCAAAGUACAUAAGCCAUUCAUAUGUAAAGCCUAAAACAAAAAUUGCUCCGCUCAUUUCGUCAUUUAGACAACCUCCGUUGUAACAUGCCUAUUUUAAUGACACAGAGCUGCAGUGUCCUUUUUUGUGAUGUUGCGUCUAUUUUUCAGCCAAUAAGAUUUUGGCAGAUUACAGGAGCUUUCAGGUCACUGAUGGGCUAUAAAUCAAAAUGAGUGUCAUUUCAGGUUUUAUUGCGCCUCUCUGCGACAACCUUGGAAAGUUUCAGCCAAAGCCUUGUCGUCCUGUAACCAGAGACCUUGAUACUGCUACCAAAGUACAAAAUUAAAGGCCAAAAACAAUAUUCCAGAUCUCUUUUUCACACCUGGUGGAUCUACAGACUGAACCCCGAAAACUUCUUAUUGCACACACUAGAGAACAACUUGUUCUUAAAGACUGGAUUUUUUAAACUCCAUAAAAACCUAUUUUCUGCUUUUUGGCUCUGGCCUGUUUAUUUGGAGACGAACUGCACAGUGGACUGCUGAAGUUGACAGACCAUCUGUUUAUACAUCUCACCACAGUCCCUAACUUUUUACGUUAACUUUAAGCCAGAGGAAAGGGCGGCCAUGUUGUUUUUGUUUAUGUUGGAAUGUUCCAUUUUUAGUGUGGGUUAAAGAGGCUGCACAAACAAGCUGGGCUGCUUUGGGAAGUAAGCCUCCAUCCCACUUCUUCCUGCAAAGUAGUGCUGCCCCACAAAUAUCUGUACUUCCCCAAAAGUUGCAUAAGGUUGCAUUUGUUGUUCUUGUGUGGGUAAUAUUUUUAGAUUAGCAGGGCAUUCCAUUCAGGUCUUUGUUUCCACAUUAAGGGAAGCUGUUUUCUAACGGAAGUCUGUGGGGUCAUUUUAAGAACCCCCCUCUUACCUAGUGAAUGGACUCAUUAUCCUAACUAUUCCUAACCAUAAUUAAGAACAAAUAUUGCCCUGGAGAAGUAGCAUAGAACACAAGGAAACUCAUUCUGGAUCGUAAUCCAUGUCUGUGCCAAAGAAAGCUGAAAAAUGGGGCGGAAUUGGAGUCAUUUGUUUGGUGACCUUGUGGUUAGUUUCUGCCCUAACCCUACGAGCUGUGGAUUAUAUACCCAGCUCAUACCAAACGCAUCAAAAUUGUUACUCACUGCCUCCGAGAGCAGUUGAGGGUACCCUUGGGAGAUACGAGUUCCGCAGAGACAAACCAAAACCAUGUGCGUCGUUAUGGCAAGAGGUCGAUGACAAAGGAAGGUUUCCUUAUUUAGAGGAACAUGUUUUAAAAAUGCUUUAUUUUCAUGGAAAUUGAUAUCAGGAUGGGUGCUUAUGGGUGUUUCCAUCUCAUGUUGUCAGAAUGUUUUGUAUCUUUUUUAAAGCUUCUGAAACAAUAAUCCUUGACUUCUGCAAACAAGUGCCUCAAACUCCAAUGUGAAACAAAGGUUUUCAUGAAACUGUCCAAGUAACAGUCAUUCGGCAGCUAUUGCUCAAGAUAGAUUGUGUGUAAUGGAUGAAUAAACAUCAAGUGGGUGAUAUAGUCUGGUGUAUUUCUUUUAGUUUGCAAUAAAAAGCAAAACCCCAUUUUUAUUUUUAUUUUUAAUAAAAUAACAAAAAUAAUAAAACACUUCUAUCAAAAAUAUAUCCCAUCCUUAGUUACAGUGGAUUUUGUCAUGCAUGCCAUUUUAAAAAUGCAAGUGGGGUUUUCAGUCUGUCAGGCUAACAUUUCCAUGUUAUUCAGUCUGGCAAUAUAAAGAAUUAGAAAUGGAGACUCCCAUUCUUGACAACUGUAGGCAACUUUUAAAGUAACAAAACUGGAUUAACUUCCUUUAUUCUGUUGUAGCUGUAAUAUUUAUAAUAGCCAGGAGCGGUUGCUGAGAUAAAAAAUUUUGCAAUGCAAAUAAAAAUAAUUUUACAACUCGCUAAAUGGCCUAAUUGAGGAGAGCUGGCUAUAGCCAAUGGUACUGAGUGUUUUAUGAAUUUAAACGCUGCAUUGAUAGUCAAGGAAAAUGAUUGAAAACAGGUCGAGAUCAAUAAUCAGUUUAAGGGGAAAUUUUCAGCCCCACCAAUUUUCAGCUCACCAACCGCCCCUGGCUAUUAUAAAUAACGGCCUAUAUUUUCAAAUAAUAGUAUAAUCUAUCAUUUAUGAUAUGCAAAAGGAAAGUUUUUUUACAUUUUUUUUUUUUUUACUGGUGAACUGCUGCACUCCAACCCCAACCACACCACUCUCAGUAAAGAGUAGCGUUGUUGCUGCAGCCUCCCUCUUCCUCUGGGAAUUUUUGAAAAGACCGGCAACACCCAGCACAUGAAUAGAAACAGCUCAUGCCCAUCUGAACAUAAAGGAUCUAAUUAGGCAGGCAGACUAAUUGCUCCUGUGGGCCUUGGUGAGGCCGAUGAUGGCACUUUGGUUAUAACAGUGAGGGCUGAGAAUUCACUGAGAACCUGUAAUGAAUUUGUCAAUUGAUUACGCAAGAGACAUUACGUAAACAGGCUGCUUACUCGGUAGUUAUAGCUGUUGGCGGUGGUGGUGUGGCGGUGGCAAUACAAGAGAACAAACAGCAAUGAUAGUGCGAGUAGUGGUGAUGGUUAUGGUAGUAUUCAUAGAAUUAAUAACAGAAGUAUUAGUUGUGCCUUAGUACUACUAGUAGAAGUAAAAGUCACUGCAACAAUAGUAUUCUUCUUACAAGUAACCUUUCACUUAUUAUGAAUGGAGGACUGGCUCUUCAGGAUAUCUAGCCCUCAGAGCAUGAAAUUAACUUCCAUCAACAUCAAGCGGUCAUUGAAUGGUUUUCCAGAGUUGCCACAUUUUAUGGAAAUCAUAUAGCGCACCAAACAAAUGAAUGAUGCAUAAAACAUAUAUACAGUAUGAUAAGUUUCAUUAAAAUUGCUUCAAUUUAAAAUCCAUUCAAUUGUCAUUAUGUAAUGUGACUCAUGAUGCUUUAUCAGAGUGGUACAGAAUGAACACAAUGGACCAUAUCUGUGUUUUCACCAUUGUGUAGUAACAGAAGAAAAAUACUCCUCAUCCUAUUAUCAUUUAGGACAGAACAUGUAAUUCAACAGUCUAUUCCUUCACCAAUGGUUGUGUUGUCAUGUUAUGUAUAACAUUUUCCACAAUGGACAUUGUGAAUGGACAAAUUUACAUGCAAUGAAUACCGUGUCUGUUUCUCGUGGAAAAAUAGAGUGUCUUCGGCCUCAACUAUGUUGUACUGAAUCAACAAAAAGAGCUUGUUUUCAUCCAAGUGAA